GCCCGCCUAGCUCAAUCGGAUAGAGCGUCAGACUCUUAGGCGGGUCCAUAUGAUCUGAAGGCUGCGAGUUCGACCCUCGCGGUGGGCU
rnacentral:tRNA from 1 species